UGAUGAUGUUCGUGAUGAUGAUGAUGAUGAUGAUGAUUAGGUAUCACCAUUUUUGAACACUGUUGCGUUGCUCUGCACAAUACAUAGAAAAGCGAGGAUAACUGUGACUGCGCACAGGGUUAACAAUCAUUGACGGAUGGGUACAAAUUUAUUCGAUAAAAAUCAACAUGUUUAAAAAUGGUGGACUGCUACGCUCAUUUCGUGACCCAGAGUAUAUUUAUGUGAAAAUAACGACUCUAACGACAAAUCCAACCCAGUUAAGAUCACUGUCAGGACCAUUUCCUGUAUUGGUGGAGGAGAAAACUGAUGCUCCCUCCUAUUGGGAUACAGAUGCAGAGAACUCGAUAUUCAAAAGCUGGAGCUACAGCUGCGGCAAAUUAAAAUGGAAAUUAUGAUGGCAGUGGCCUACUUGAGUUUCACAAAACUUCCACUGAGAUUGAGACCAGCAUGCAAGACCAAAGUCAAAAAACACAACAAGAUUCACAAUAUGGAAUCGAAAGGAGCUGACAGGAUAGACUGAUAUAUUAAAACACAGAUGAUAACACAGAAGGAAGUUUCAACAGCGGUAGUCUUCGAUAUGUUAAAGAUACUGCUGUGGGUGUACAUGGACUUCUGAAGCAUCAGUCUGAUUUACCAGCAGAGCUGUGAAUGCAACAUCUCUAGCCAGAAAUAAUUUUCCUGAGCAGCAUGAUACCAACACACAAUAGCGGGGACAAGCGCAUUUUCAAAAAAGCAAUCUUUAGUUAGAAUAACCUUAGGUUUUGAAAGGUUUAGAAUAAUUGUGGUUGGAUGGCCAUAGGUGGCAGUGACAGUCAGGGAUGGUCAGCAUACACUUAAGUAAAAGAUAAAGUCUUUCAUGCGUACUGAAAACUAACCAUGGAUACUGGAGGCUGAUAGAACCAAGCAUGGACACUGGUAAAACCAACCCUGGAUGUUGAUAGAAACAACCAUGGAUGCUGAUAGAACCUACUGUAUAAGCCGAUAUAACCAACAUUGGACAAUAUCAUAACUUACCAUGGGCAGUGAAAGAAUUGAAGAAUUGACCAAAGGCAGUAAAUAAUGCAGGAACGAGUUCAAGCAUAUUCCUCAGGAUCCCCUACAUCUCUACAUAGAGGGACACGCAAACAGCCACAUCAUAUUCCUGAGGACCUUUACUUCUCAACCUAAAGGUCACACAAACAGCCACAUCAUAUUCCUGAGGACCUUUACAUCUCUACAAGGAGGGACACACAAACAGCCACAUCAUAUUCCUGAGGAACUUUACAUCUCUACAAGGAGGGACACACAAACAGCCACAUCAUAUUCCUGAGGACCUUUACAUCUCUACAAGGAGGGACAC